GUCUUUCAGAGUCAGUUGAGAUUUGGUUUCACAUAUUCUGAUACUUCUUAAAUCUGAGUGAAGCUGCUUCCAAGUUUAGACACUGGCAGAACUCUUUGUAAAUACUUUCCUCACAAGGAUAUUGCUGCACACAGUGACAUCCUGAACAAGCUGCUCUACCCCAGGGAAUGAGUCCAUGAGGCUCAGGAAAGCGACAUUCUGAGUCCUCUAAUCCCAGCAAUGGUUGGAAAAAAGCUAGAAUUUCUAAUAUUUAUGUGUAGUAUAUUAGAAUCAAAGAAUUGGAAGACCUCUGUCCCAGUCUGCUUGAAUUGUUCUAACAGAAUACCAUAGACUGACUGGGUGGCUUAAACAACAAAUAUUUCUCACAGUUCUGAAAUCUUGAAUUCAGAGAUCAGUUCUUGGGGAGGGCCCUCUUCCUGGCUUACACUAGGGCAUCUUCUUACCAUGAUCUCACAUGGCAGGAGAGAGACCCAUAGCUAUUCAUCCCUUCAAAAGAGCAUUAAUCUCAUCAUGAGGGCUUCACUCUCAUAACCAAAUAUAACACUAUCUGCAAAAGGCCCCACCUCCAAAGGCAUCAUAUUGGGGAUUAAUGUCUCAACAUUAUGAAUAUGGGGAGGACACAAAGGUUCAGACCAUAGCAGCCUCCUAGAGACCAGAUAGUUUAAUUGAUAAGAAUUAUAUUAAUAACUUCAAUAUAGUCUCUUUUUUUUCAAAACAUGAUUUACAAUGGGAAUAUCUUAACAAGACAAGCUGAGACCUUAACAGAUUUAUUUGGUGUCCCUGGUGGCUCAGUGGUAAAGAACCUGUCUACCAGUGCAGGAGACACAGGCUUGAUCCCUGGGUCAGGAAGAUCCCCUGGAGAAGGAAAUGGAAACCCACUACAGUAUUCUUCCCUGAAGAAUCCCACGGGUAGAGGAGCCUGGCAGGCUACAGUUCAUAGGGUCGCAAAGAGUCAGACACAACUGAGCAGCUAAACAACAACAAAUUUUUAUUAAAAAUGCUUAAAAAUAAAAAAUAAAAAUUUUGUAAACAUUAAAAAAUAUUAAAAGGCUUCCCCAUUCUGAAUUUUAAAAAUCAUAAUAAUAGUAAACAUUCAGUGCCUAUAAUAUGGCCAGGCAUUGUCUCUAAAUACUUUAUAUACAUGAACUCCUUCUGUAUUUACCCCCCUCCUCUGAUGCAGGUACUAUUCCCAGUUACAUGCUACAGAAGAUGACACUGAAUCUUUAAUGGGUACAUACCUUUCUCAGGAUCACACUGUUAGCAGGUGUUGGACAGAGCUGGACCCAAAUCAUGGGUGAGUCUAGUUUGUAGUUUGCAGUAUUUUUGAUGUUAUAAAUAGAAAUGUCUAUAUAUACAUUAUGCUAGAAGUUGAUAAAGUUAUGUAGAUAAGAAAAAUACAAGUAGACCAAAAGAAUACUAUGGUUGUUUGACAGAAAACACCUGCUUUCUAAGUGUAGUCUUUAAUUUUAGCUCAUAAUUAAAGUAAAAUAUGAUACAAAGUCAGUUUUUCUUACAGAAAAGAGUAAUCCUAAUUUGGAAAUUGGUAGUACAGGAAUGUGUCGUGAAGUGAUGCUAGUGUAGGCAUUAACAGCAUGAUUUGGAAACUUU
ensembl:lncRNA